rnacentral:rRNA from 1 species
GACGAACGCUGGCGGCGUGCUUAACACAUGCAAGUCGAACGGAAAGGCCCUGCCUUUGGGGGGUGCUCGAGGGGCGAACGGGGGAGUAACACGUGAGUAACGUGCACUUGACUUUGGGAUAACUUCAGGAAAGUGGGGCUAAUACCGGAUAGGAGCUCCUGCUGCAGGGUGGGGGUUGGAAAGUUUCGGCGGUUGGGGAUGGACUCGCGGCUUAUCGGCUUGUUGGUGGGGUAGUGGCUUACCAAGGCUUUGACGGGUAGCCGGCCUGGGCGGGUGACCGGCCCCAUUGGACCUGGGCUGCGGCCCGGCCUCCUACGGUACGCAGGGGUGGGGAAUGUAACACUGUGGGCGGAGGCCUGGUCCAGCACCGCCGCGUGCGGGAUGACGGCCUUCGGGUUGUAUUCCGCUUUCGCCUGUGCCGAAGCGUUAGUGACGGUACUGGGUAAAGAAGCACCGGCUAACUACGUG